rnacentral:rRNA from 1 species
GACGAACGCUGGCGGCGUGCUUAACACAUGCAAGUCGAACGGAAAGGCCCUGCUUUUGUGGGGUGCUCGAGUGGCGAACGGGUGAGUAACACGUGAGUAACCUGCCCUUGACUUUGGGAUAACUUCAGGAAACUGGGGCUAAUACAGGAUAGGAGCUCCUGCUGCAUGGUGGGGGUUGGAAAGUUUCGGCGGGUGGGGAUGGACUCGCGGCUUAUCAGCUUGUUGGUGGGGUAGUGGCUUACCAAGGCUUUGACGGGUAGCCGGCCUGAGAGGGUGACCGGCCACAUUGGGACUGAGAUACGGCCCAGACUCCUACGGGAGGCAGCAGUGGGGAAUAUUGCACAAUGGGCGGAAGCCUGAUGCAGCAACGCCGCGUUCGUGAUGACGGCCUUCGGGUUGUAAACCGCUUUCGCCUGUGACGAAGCGUGAGUGACGGUAAUGGGUAAAGAAGCACCGGCUAACUACGUG